rnacentral:miRNA from 1 species
UCGCAGGUGAGAUGAUAGCA